GACCCAUCUGGGCUGGGACACGCAACGACAAUUUACUCGUCGGUCCAGGGACCCCCCGGGUCGAAACGCCGACAAGUGUGCAAGUAGGUAGUACUGAAAUAGGUGCAAUAUGAAGGUAUGUGUUCAGGAAUCUAAGCUUUUUGAAGGAGACCAAUUGAGACCAUAACUGUUUUUUCUUUCAUCUGACCUGUGCUUGUUGUGUGAUCCUGCAGAAGUAAAAAUGGAGCUUUUGUUGUUAUGUAAUUAUUUUAUUUAUUGCAGGGAGGCAUAGUCAAUUUGCUUGGACCAUUUGUAACAUUGGACACCAUUGACAUGUAGAACAAUGUAUAAGGAAAACAAAAUGCACGUGAUGUCAAAACGAACAGUUAUUUGAAACAACUUUUUUUUCAAAUCAUGUAACUGGCAUCCUUAGAUUGCACAA